rnacentral:tRNA from 1 species
CGGGGGCUAGGUUAAUUAAAACUUUGGGUUUCCAAAACCUGAGAUAGAGAUGGUAGUUCUUUGCCCCUGG